GCGCAGGCUUUAUGAGUGCGCUCAGAUGAUGGUGAAACCUUAUGAUUCCUUAUCGGGGAAUAUCAGAAUAUACAUCUGGACACAUUAGCUGGGGGCCCAGUUAGAGAAGACUCGACCUUGUCCGCUUUGGCGCAUUGUAUAAGUCAUAGCUCAAACUAAUUUGAACAUUAAUAAAUAAUUUGGAAAGUGUUAGAGUGCCUUCAUAGAGCCAUCAUAGCGCCUUCAUGGCACCUUCAUAGAGCUUUCGUAACAUCUUCAUAGGGCCUUUAUAACACCUUUGUAGUGCCUUCAUAUUGUCUUCGUAGUGUAAUAACACUUCUCUGGAAAAGAACAACCAUUCAUAGUGCUACUUAAAGAUGUGCUGCUCCUUCCUGACAGUUUUGCUGUUUUUUUGAGAAAGCAUAUCUGGUGUCUUUAAGCUCAUCCACCUGUCACUGUGCUCUUUCAGCAAUUACACAUCUGUCAAGUGUCACCCGGGCUUAGCUCUGACCGACAGGGUUAUGUCAAGCAGUCAGCCAUUACCCAAAUGGUUUAGAGUGGAGGGAUAGUAGGCACAUACUGCGGAAGAGUGAGCAUGGGUCAUUGUAACUGGGAGCUAGGGUUAGGUUAGGAGGGCCAGUGUAACUGGGAGCUAGGGUUAGGUUAGGAGGGCCAGUGUGACUGAGAGCUAGGGUUAUGUUAGGAGGGCCAGUGUGACUGGGAGCUAGGGUUAGGUUAGGAGGGCCAGUGUGACUGGGAGCUAGGGUUGUGUUAGGAGGGCCAGUGUGACUGGGAGCUAGAGUUGUGUUAGGAGGGCCAGUGUGACUGGGAGCUAGGGUUGUGUUAGGAGGGCCAGUGUGACUGGGAGCUAGGGUUGUGUUAGGAGGGCCAGUGUGACUGAGAGCUAGGGUUGUGUUAGGAGGGCCAGUGUGACUGAGAGCUAGGGUUGUGUUAGGAGCGCCAGUGUGACUGAGAGCUAGGGUUGUGUUAGGAGGGCCAGUGUGACUGGGAGCUAGGCUUGUGUUAGGAGCGCCAGUGUGACUGAGAGCUAGGGUUGUGUUAGGAGGGCCAGUGUGACUGGGAGCUAGGCUUGUGUUAGGAGCGCCAGUGUGACUGAGAGCUAGGGUUGUGUUAGGAGCGCCAGUGUGACUGGGAGCUAGGGUUGUGUUAGGAGCGCCAGUGUGACUGAGAGCUAGGGUUGUGUUAGGAGGGCCAGUGUGACUGGGAGCUAGGGUUGU
rnacentral:lncRNA from 1 species